rnacentral:rRNA from 1 species
AGUGAACGCUGGCGGUAGGCCUAACACAUGCAAGUCGAACGGCAGCACAGUAAGAGCUUGCUCUUACGGGUGGCGAGUGGCGGACGGGUGAGGAAUACAUCGGAAUCUACUUUUUCGUGGGGGAUAACGUAGGGAAACUUACGCUAAUACCGCAUACGACCUACGGGUGAAAGCAGGGGAUCUUCGGACCUUGCGCGAUUGAAUGAGCCGAUGUCGGAUUAGCUAGUUGGCGGGGUAAAGGCCCACCAAGGCGACGAUCCGUAGCUGGUGUGAGAGGAUGAUCGGCCACACUGGAACUGAGACACGGUCCAGACUCCUACGAGAGGCAGCAGUGGGGAAUGUUGGACAAUGGGCGCAAGCCUGAUCCAGCCAUACCGCGUGGGUGAAGAAGGCCUUCGGGUUGUAAAGCCCUUUUGUUGGGAAAGAAAAGCAGCAGGUUAAUACCCCGCUGUUCUGACGGUACCCAAAGAAUAAGCACCGGCUAACUUCGUG